UACCCUUACAAAAACACUGACUUUGGUUCUCAAUACAGUAAGUGCUUUUUGUUGGGGUAGUUUUGCUGAUCUCUGCAACA
ensembl:miRNA